rnacentral:misc_RNA from 1 species
UCCUUCUUUGAUAAUUAAUUUUUUUUAAAUAAUUUAUUUUAAAGAAUAAAUUUUUAUUUAAUAGGAAAGAAUAUUUUUAUACUUCUAAUAAUUAUUUAUCUUUUUUUUAUCUUUCUAAAUAUAAAAAAUAUAUAUUACCUCCCCUUCCCUUUCUAUUAAUUCAAUCAUUUUCAAACAUGAAUUUUUUUUUAUUGUCCUUAUCCUUUCUUAACCUCCCAUUAAUUAUCCUUUCCUCACCCAAUUCAAACAUAGCCUUCAUCAAAACGAAUCAGAUGUUAAAGCCAGAGUAUGAGAGAAUAAGAGGCAGCUUCGGACAUAGGAAAGCUGAACUUCUGUUCCUUUACUUGUACGCUACAAAGUGCAAAGCAAGCAUCCAUCUUUUGCUUAGUUGAUUGCCUGCCAGAAAGUGCCACCUUGUUGGGUACAAAUUCCCAUUGCACUGAGGAAUGGAAUCCUUAAGGGCUUCCUCCAUAUAAAAUUAAUAAUCGCUCAUUCUUUCAAAAUAUGAAAAGAAAAAAAAAAUUAUAUGCUAAACUUUACGCAACCGCACAUGAAAUUGAUUGAAACUAUUCUUUGAAUGCUCUCGCACGACCUUCAAAUUUCUUAAGGGGGCCCUUGCCACUCACUUUUGUUUUUUUAUUAAAAAAUUAGAGCGAUUUGCGUCCUCUUUCUCUCUUUUUAGUUGGCAAUAAAUUAUAACCUUUUUUUUUUCUUUUUUCCUUUUGCAGGGGAUAUAUUUCAUUAUCUUAAUU